rnacentral:misc_RNA from 1 species
GGGUUAUCAAAUCUUGAAGCAUUUCUGGAACCUCGGAAAGAGGAAUCAUCCCUUUUCGGUGGAGGGGGUCCAUAAUUUACCCUCAAUGAUCUGCCAUCAAGUUCAUAGCCAUUAAAUUGUUGAGCAGCUGCUUCAACCUCGUCAACGCUCGACAUCGUGACAAAACCAAAUCCCCUGCUUCGUCCCGUCGUCUUGUCAUAAAUUACCUCAACUCUUUCAACUUGUCCGGCGCUUUCGAACAAGCCGGCGAGUUGAGCACUGUCGAC